AACGAACGCUGGCGGCGCGCCUAAUACAUGCAAGUCGAGCGAGAAGACGUAGCAAUACGUUUGUAAAGCGGCGAACGGGUGAGGAAUACAUGGGUAACCUACCCUCGAGUGGGGAAUAACUAGCCGAAAGGUUAGCUAAUACCGCGUACGCUCCUUGGACUUCGGUUCAGGGAGGAAAGCGAUACCGUGGGUAUCGCGCUCUUGGAUGGGCUCAUGUCCUAUCAGCUUGUUGGUGAGGUAACGGCUCACCAAGGCUUCGACGGGUAGCUGGUCUGAGAGGACGAUCAGCCACACUGGCACUGCGACACGGGCCAGACUCCUACGGGAGGCAGCAGUAAGGAAUAUUGCGCAAUGGGCGAAAGCCUGACGCAGCGACGCCGCGUGGGGGAUGAAGGUCUUCGGAUUGUAAACCCCUUUCGGGAGGGAAGAUGGAAUGGGGUAACCCAUUCGGACGGUACCUCCAGAAGCAGCCACGGCUAACUUCGUGCCAGCAGCCGCCGCGGU
rnacentral:rRNA from 1 species